GAUGAAGAACGCAGCGAAAUGCGAUAAGUAAUGUGAAUUGCAGAAUUCAGUGAAUCAUCGAAUCUUUGAACGCACAUUGCGCCCCUUGGUAUUCCGGGGGGCAUGCCCGUUCGAGCGUCAUUAUAACCCCUCAAGCUCAGCUUGGUGUUGGGGCCUGCUGCACUGGCAGCCCUUAAAAUCAGUGGCGGCGCCAUCUGGCUCUAAGCGUAGUAAUUCUUCUCGCUAUGGAGUCCUGGUGGAUGCUUGCCAUCAACCCCCAAUUUUUCUAUGGUUGACCUCGGAUCAGGUAGGGAUACCCGCUGAACUUAAGCAUAUCAAUAAGCGGAGGA
rnacentral:misc_RNA from 1 species